AUAAUUAAUUGUGCCCGCAACUCUAUUUUUAAGCUCGCUAAAAACAUUACUAAGUUAAGUAAAGGUGAUUAAAAAUUAACUCUUUAAUGGGCUACCAAAACAGUACUGAAAAGGAAAUAUUAUUUAAUAUUACAAAAGAAGAUAUAAAGUCUCGUACCUUUUGUAUCAUGGUUUAGCUAGAAUUAAGUUUUAAAUUAAAAAUCUCGAAAUCUAAUGAGCUAUCUUGACUUCACUAUUUUAGUAAAAUAAGAGUAGUUGUAGCAAAAACUUUCUUAGAGAGCAAGAUAGAAAUGAAAUUUUUUCCGUAUUAGAUGAUAGCUAGUUUCCCCACUAAAAGUAUAGAAGUACUUGAAAUUAAUGUUUUUAUAUUAAAUGUAUCGAGUUUAUAUAAAAAUCUAAUUUCGGCAAGUUUUGGAGGAUGAGCUCUAAAACUAACAAAGAACUCAUUAUAUAAAUUUUUUAUUAAAUUUAAGCUUGAAAAUAGCUAUAAUACUGAGAUUUUGUUACAAUUUCAUUUAUUCUAACUAUAAAUAUAAUUAAUCUAUUUUUUUACACGGGGGAUUAGGCUAGAAAUAACCAAAACAGCUUGUAUCAAUGCUAAAAUGAGUAUUUACACCACAACUUUUAACAGCUUAACUUAAAUAAACUAUUUAAGCCAAUAAGAUGUACCCCAAAAAUAAAUUUAUAUAAAGGAACUCGGCAAAGCCACUGCUCCGCCUGUUUAUCAAAAACAUGGCUCCUUGAAACACCUACCAUAAGGAGUCGGACCUGCCCAGUGAAUUAAGUUUUCAACGGCCGCGGUACUCUGACCGUGCAAAGGUAGCAUAAUCAUUUGCCCUAUAAUUGAGGGCUAGUAUGAAUGGUUUGACGUGAGCAAAACUGUCUCUAUAUAAAUUUCUAGAAUUUGAUUUUUAGGUGAAGAAACCUAAAUUUUAUUGAUAGACAAGAAGACCCUAUUGAGCUUUAAAAAAGUAAGUAGAAAACAAUAUAUAAAUCUAAAUAUUAGCCUACUUUAAAUUUUGGUUGGGGCGACUAAGGAACAAACAAAGCUUCUUUACUACUUUUAUACCUGCAAGUUUUGAUCCAGAAAUUCUGAUUAAUGGAAUUAGUUACCAUAGGGAUAACAGCAUAAUUUUCUUUGAGAGUCCUCAUCGAAAAGAAAGUUUGUGACCUCGAUGUUGGACUAGAAUAUCCUAAAGAUGCAGCAGUCUUUAAGGGUUGGUCUGUUCGACCAUUAAAAUUCUACAUGAUCUGAGUUCAGACCGGCGUGAGCCAGGUCAGUUUCUAUCUUCAAUUAGACAACUUAAAUUUAGUACGAAAGGACCAGUUUAAUGUAAAAAUUGCUACACAAGAUGUAAUGUAAUGCCCGAGUAAAUAAUUAAUAGACACUCAACAU
rnacentral:rRNA from 1 species